rnacentral:tRNA from 2 species
GCCCGAGUGGCGGAAUUGGCAGACGCGCAGCGUUCAGGUCGCUGUUCAGUUUACUGGGUAUGAGUUCGAAUCUCAUCUCGGGCA